rnacentral:ncRNA from 1 species
GGAAGCGAAGCAACUGGAAGGGGUUCCAGGAAAAGCCUCUAAGCUUCAGUUUCACAGUGACCGUACCGCAAACCGACACAGGUGGGCGAGAUGAGUAUUCUAAGGCGCUUGAGAGAACUCGGGAGAAGGAACUCGGCAAAUUGGUACCGUAACUUCGGGAUAAGGUACGCCCUUGUAGCUUGACUGGCCUGCGCCAGAAGGGUGAAAGGGUUGCAAUAAACUGGUGGCUGCGACUGUUUAAUAAAAACACAGCACUCUGCAAACACGAAAGUGGACGUAUAGGGUGUGACGCCUGCCCGGUGCCGGAAGAUUAAAUGAUGGGGUGCAAGCUCCUGAUUGAAGUCCCGGUAAACGGCGGCCGUAACUAUAACGGUCCUAAGGUAGCGAAAUUCCUUGUCGGGUAAGUUCCGACCUGCACGAAUGGCGUAACGAUGGCCACACUGUCUCCUCCCGAGACUCAGCGAAGUUGAAGUGUUUGUGAUGAUGCAAUCUCCCCGCGGCUAGACGGAAAGACCCCAUGAACCUUUACUGUAGCUUUGCAUUGGACUUUGAACCGGUCUGUGUAG